AUUGAACGCUGGCGGAAUGCUUUACACAUGCAAGUCGAACGGCAGCACGGACUUCGGUCUGGUGGCGAGUGGCGAACGGGUGAGUAAUAUAUCGGAACGUAUCCAAUAAUGGGGGAUAACUAAUCGAAAGGUUGGCUAAUACCGCAUACGCCCUACGGGGAAAGCUAGGGACCUUCGGGCCUGGCGUUAAUGGAGCGGCUGAUAUCUGAUUAGCUAGUUGGUGAGGUAAAGGCUCACCAAGGCGACGAUCAGUAGCUGGUCUGAGAGGACGACCAGCCACACUGGAACUGAGACACGGUCCAGACUCCUACGGGAGGCAGCAGUGGGGAAUUUUGGACAAUGGGGGCAACCCUGAUCCAGCAAUGCCGCGUGAGUGAAGAAGGCCUU
rnacentral:rRNA from 1 species